GAUGAACGCUGGCGGCGUGCCUAAUACAUGCAAGUCGAGCGAACGGACGAGAAGCUUGCUUCUCUGAUGUUAGCGGCGGACGGGUGAGUAACACGUGGAUAACCUACCUAUAAGACUGGGAUAACUUCGGGAAACCGUAGCUAAUACCGGAUAAUAUUUUGAACCGCAUGGUUCAAAAGUGAAAGACGGUCUUGCUGUCACUUAUAGAUGGAUCCGCGCUGCAUUAGCUAGUUGGUAAGGUAACGGCUUACCAAGGCAACGAUGCAUAGCCGACCUGAGAGGGUGAUCGGCCACACUGGAACUGAGACACGGUCCAGACUCCUACGGGAGGCAGCAGUAGGGAAUCUUCCGAAAUGGGCGAAAGCCUGACGGAGCAACGCAGCGUGAGUGAUGAAGGUCUUCGGAUCGUAAAACUCUGUUAUUAGGGAAGAACAUAUGUGUAAGUAACUGUGCACAUCUUGAGGGUACCUAAUCAGAAAGCCACGGCUAACUACGU
rnacentral:rRNA from 1 species